GAUGAACGCUGACAGAAUGCUUAACACAUGCAAGUCAACUGGUGGCGGACAGGUGAGUAAAGCGUAAAGAACUUGCCCCACAGCUAGGGACAACAUUUAGAAAUGAAUGCUAAUACCUGAUACUGUGAGAGAGCUUUGCGACCCAUUAGCUAGUUGGAGAGGUAACAGCUCACCAAGGCGAUGAUGGGUAGCCGGCCUGAGAGGGUGAACGGCCACAAGGGGACUUAGACACGGCCCUUAAUCCUACGGGAGGCAGCAGUGGGGAAUAUUGGACAAUGGACCGAAGUCUGAUCCAGCAAUUCUGUGUGCACGAUGAAGUUUUCGGAAUGUAAAGUGCUUUCAGUUGGGAAGCGGUACCAACAGAAGAAGUGACGGCUAAAUACGUGCCAGCAGCCGCGGUAAUUC
rnacentral:rRNA from 1 species